rnacentral:rRNA from 1 species
UACGUAGGGUCCAAGCGUUAUCCGGAAUCACUGGGCGUAAAGCGCACGUAGGCGGAUAUGUCAGUCAGGGGUGAAAUCCCGGGGCUUAACCUCGGAACUGCCUUUGAUACAGCAUAUCUUGAGUCCGAUAGAGGUGGGUGGAAUUCCUAGUGUAGAGGUGAAAUUCGUAGAUAUUAGGAAGAACACCGGUGGCGAAGGCGGCCCACUGGAUCGGUACUGACGCUGAGGUGCGAAAGCGUGGGGAGCAAACAGG